GGCGGCGUGCCUAAUACAUGCAAGUAGAACGCUGAAGGAGGAGCUUGCUUCUCUGGAUGAGUUGCGAACGGGUGAGUAACGCGUAGGUAACCUGCCUGGUAGCGGGGGAUAACUAUUGGAAACGAUAGCUAAUACCGCAUAAUAGUAGAUGUUGCAUGACAUUUACUUAAAAGGUGCAAUUGCAUCACUACCAGAUGGACCUGCGUUGUAUUAGCUAGUUGGUGGGGUAACGGCUCACCAAGGCGACGAUACAUAGCCGACCUGAGAGGGUGAUCGGCCACACUGGGACUGAGACACGGCCCAGACUCCUACGGGAGGCAGCAGUAGGGAAUCUUCGGCAAUGGACGGAAGUCUGACCGAGCAACGCCGCGUGAGUGAAGAAGGUUUUCGGAUCGUAAAGCUCUGUUGUAAGAGAAGAACGAGUGUGAGAGUGGAAAGUUCACACUGUGACGUAUCUACCAGAAAGGACGCA
rnacentral:rRNA from 1 species